ACGCUCUUCCAAUUUGUAUAUCUUUUGAUUUGUUUUGGGGUGACGUGGAUACCUAUUGGCGGAGUAUUGUUCCCACUGCCAUUCUUCUUUCUCAUUGGCAUAAGGCACUCUAUCUUUCCUAAGGUGUUCCAUCCUCGUUAUCUUCAAGAACUGGAUGCAGCUGAGUAUGAAGAAAUUGCUGGUACGCCAAAACGAAGUCGGAGUCUUAAGCACAAGGAGAGAGAACCAACUGAUAUUAGGAACGAAGCA
rnacentral:misc_RNA from 1 species